CCUACGGGGGGCUGCAGUGAGGAAUAUUGGUCAAUGGCCGAGAGGCUGAACCAGCCAAGUCGCGUGAGGGAAGACGGCCCUACGGGUUGUAAACUUCUUUUGUCGGGGAGCAAAACGAACCACGUGUGGCUCAUUGAGAGUACCCUAAGAACAAGCAUCGGCUAACUCCGUGCCAGCAGCCGCGGGAAUACGGAGGAUUCGAGCGUUAUCCGGAUUUAUUGGGUUUAAAGGGUGCGCAGGUGGGAGUGCAAGUCAGCUGUGAAAAUUCCGGGCUCAAACCCCUAAUUGCCGUUGAAACUGUGUGCCUUGAGUGCAGGAGAGGUAGGCGGAAUGCGUGGUGUAGCGGUGAAAUGCAUAGAUAUCACGAAGAACACCGAUGGCGAAGGCAGCUUACUGGACCGUAACUGACGCUGAUGCGCGAAAGCGUGGGUAUCAAACAGGAUUAGAUACCCUAGUAGUC
rnacentral:rRNA from 1 species